UAUAAUCGUUUUAAUCGAUGGGGGGACGCAGUAGGAUAGGCGAAGCGUGCGAUUGGAUUGCACGUCUAAGCAGUAAGGCUGAGUAUUAGGCAAAUCCGGUACUCGUUAAGGCUGAGCUGUGAUGGGGAGAAGACAUUGUGUCUUCGAGUCGUUGAUUUCACACUGCCGAGAAAAGCCUCUAGAUAGAAAAUAGGUGCCCGUACCGCAAACCGACACAGGUAGUCAAGAUGAGAAUUCUAAGGUGAGCGAGCGAACUCUCGUUAAGGAACUCGGCAAAAUGACCCCGUAACUUCGGGAGAAGGGGUGCUCUUUAGGGUUAACGCCCAGAAGAGCCGCAGUGAAUAGGCCCAAGCGACUGUUUAUCAAAAACACAGGUCUCUGCUAAACCGUAAGGUGAUGUAUAGGGGCUGACGCCUGCCCGGUGCUGGAAGGUUAAGAGGAGUGGUUAGCUUCUGCGAAGCUACGAAUCGAAGCCCCAGUAAACGGCGGCCGUAACUAUAACGGUCCUAAGGUAGCGAAAUUCCUUGUCGGGUAAGUUCCGACCCGCACGAAAGGCGUAACGAUUUGGGCACUGUCUCAACGAGAGACUCGGUGAAAUCAUAGUACCUGUGAAGAUGCAGGUUACCCGCGACAGGACGGAAAGACCCCGUGGAGCUUUACUGUAGCCUGAUAUUGAAAUUCGGCACAGCUUGUACAGGAUAGGUA
rnacentral:rRNA from 1 species